GAAAGCCGUAUUCGAUGAAAGUUGUAUGUAUGGCUUGGAGGGAGAUCUUUCCUAUCUUUCGAGAUCCACCCUAC
rnacentral:ncRNA from 1 species